rnacentral:rRNA from 1 species
UACGUAGGCAGCAAGCGUUGCCCGGAUUUACUGGGCGUAAAGCGCACGUAGGCGGAUCGUUAAGUCGGGGGUGAAAUCCUGGAGCUCAACUCCAGAACUGCCUUCGAUACUGGCGAUCUUGAGUCCGGAAGAGGCGAGUGGAAUUCCUGGUGUAGCGGUGAAAUGCGCAGAUAUCAGGAGGAACACCGGUGGCGAAGGCGGGUCUCUGGGCCGAUACUGACGCUGAGGAGCGAAAGCGUGGGGAGCGAACAGG